GACCACACUCUCUAGCUCUGAUGGAGAGACCUGGCUGUAGAGACCUGAAUAGAGGAUCCAGUUUGGAGCAGGACUGGGGAAAGGCCAAGGGAGCCGAGGAGCUCCAGCCUAGGAAAGCUGCAGGCCUGGUGCUAUAUUGAGAAUUGACAAUGAAAAUAUGUCUGUCACUACUGUGAAUGUAAAACUGUCUCUACUGAAAAGUAUUCAAAAUUCUAUCACCUUCAAUGAGUAAACGAUGGAGUGGGUGUGUGCACAGACAGUUUCAGAAUUACCACUGCAAGAAAUAUGGGUCUCUUCUGCUCGGUUAUCACAGGACUGCUGUUUCCAUAUGCCUGAUGGGCACUGCCAAAGGGACCUGUGCUGCUCACUGCAUGCAACAUGGUCCAGCCAUGUGGGACCAGAACCUGCUCCAUAUGCAAAGUCUCUUGCAACCUGCCCUCUAUCCCCACAGUUCAGCUGUUUGCAGACAAUUGCUGGGGUGACUCCAGACAUCUGAUUGGAGCAAACACUGCCCCAUGUCCCAUUGUA